rnacentral:misc_RNA from 1 species
GAUGAAGAACGUAGCUAAAUGCGAUACGUAAUGUGAAUUGCAGAAUUCAGUGAAUCAUCGAAUCUUUGAACGCAUAUUGCGCUCUUUGGUAUUCCGAAGAGCAUGCUUGUUUGAGUAUCAGUAAACACCUCAAAGCUUUUGGAUUUUUUAAUCGAAAAGCUUUGGACUUGAGCAAUCCCAACACCAAUCUUUUUGAGAUCGGUGGCGGGUUGCUUGAAAUGCAGGUGCAGCUGGACAUUCUCCUGAGCUAAAAGCAUAUUCAUUUAGUCCCGUCAAACGGAUUAUUACUUUUGCUGCAGCUAACAUAAAGGGAGUUUGACCGUAUUGGCUGACUGAUGCAGGAUUUCACAAGGGUCGGCAACGAUUCUUGUUAAACUCGAUCUCAAAUCAAGUAAGACUACCCGCUGAACUUAAGCAUAUCAAUAAGCGGAGGA